rnacentral:tRNA from 1 species
GACGAGGUGACCGAGUGAUUAAGGCGAUGUGCUGCUAAUUCAUUGUACUCUGCACGCGUGGGUUUGAAUCCCAUCCCCGUCA